rnacentral:rRNA from 1 species
AAAACUUUCAACAACGGAUCUCUUGGUUCCAGCAUCGAUGAAGAACGCAGCGAAAUGCGAUAAGUAAUGUGAAUUGCAGAAUUCAGUGAAUCAUCGAAUCUUUGAACGCACAUUGCGCCACUCGGUAUUCCGGGUGGCAUGCCUGUUCGAGCGUCAUU